rnacentral:rRNA from 1 species
GUGGGGAAUAUUGCACAAUGGGGGAAACCCUGAUGCAGCAACGCCGCGUGAGUGAUGAAGGUCUUCGGAUCGUAAAGCUCUGUCUUCAGGGACGAUAAUGACGGUACCUGAGGAGGAAGCCACGGCUAACUACGUGCCAGCAGCCGCGGUAAUACGUAGGUGGCGAGCGUUGUCCGGAUUUACUGGGCGUAAAGGGAGCGUAGGCGGAUUUUUAAGUGAGAUGUGAAAUACCCGGGCUCAACUUGGGUGCUGCAUUUCAAACUGGAAGUCUAGAGUGCAGGAGAGGAGAGUGGAAUUCCUAGUGUAGCGGUGAAAUGCGUAGAGAUUAGGAAGAACACCAGUGGCGAAGGCGACUCUCUGGACUGUAACUGACGCUGAGGCUCGAAAGCGUGGGGAGCAAACAGG